AAUGGAAAAAACAAUUGUGUAUUUUUGUAUUAGUUUUCUCAAAGAAAGGAGAAAUUGUAGAAUGGCACUCCAACAGGAAAAGCACUGCAAGCUAGUGAAACUACAGAAUGGAAUAAACAAUCUCCUUCCAAGUCGUAAACGGCACGAAGAGUUGGUAGGAAGAUUGUGAAAGAAAAAUCUAGACUACAAGAAUGCAAAAAAUGACUUAUGAUUGGAAAAGGGUGGCAAUUAGCUUCUCUUUCUUCCUGUGCUUCUUUUUUUGUCUUUGUCUUUCCUGUUCUGCAACAUCUUAUCAGUAUGAUUCUCUGAAUACCAUGUCCAUGUCAUUAGACAAGAGGUUUCUCAUGAACUUUAUACUCAAUACUCCCUUGGAUGCAGUUUGUAUUGAGAUGCAACAAAAACAAAAGCAUAAGGCAAUAAUUGUAUUAUGUAGCAGCGUUGGCAUCCUGCAACACUGCAUAUCCAGUAGAAUUUUGUUUAAAGUAUGAAAAUUCAAAAUACUAUUUUGGACACUUCUAAAUCAAAGGAUCUGUCCAACCCAUCGAUUAAAAGUCAGUCAAGUAAAAAUGCAAAAUAAAAAUGGGACCCCGAGUGGCUAAGCAUUGCCAGAGCUAAAGGGGGGGCCACGAGGGGAACCUCCUCCCAAAUAUGCCUGGAAUAUGCCUAUUUUCCAAAAUCUCAGUGAAUUCUUUUCUACAUUUCUACCUGUCCCCCGUAAAGAACAUAGAGUGAAUUUUUUCACAGCGUUUUGCAAAGACUUUUUGGGUUUGCAAAAAAAAA